ensembl:lincRNA
CAUGCCAGUUUAACUGGGGGUUAAAAAAUCCUCACUUUCACAGCCUCUUGCUAUGUAGUUGUCCCUGGUUACUGUUCUGCCUCUGUCUCCACAGAGACCACUCUGGGCCAGUAACCAUGGCGAUAGGAGAAGACGUGAGCAGAUGGGAGCACUAUGUGCAGAACUUAAACAUCCUUGUGUUGGGGGGAGAAUUGUUGAUUGCAAACACAAGUGCAUGUGAGUGUAGAGGGACAGGCCUGCUCUCUGUAUCCCUCUCCUGGCCCUCCCUGUGCUUUUGCUUUGGUCAGCAGGCUAAAGGAGGAGGUAAGGGGCAUUUGCAGUCUUCUCCUGUUUGUUAGAGGAGCCAAGGCAGCUGGUGGGUAGAUGUG